CAUGAAUACUAGAUCUUUGAAUGGAUCCUAAACUGCUUGCUUUGGCUUUGCUUCUUCCUCUCAGUACUGAGCUGUACAUACAGAUUGAAAGUGAGAAACUGGUAAAUACAGUAUCUAGUUUCAUUGUAACCCCUUCCUGAUUGAUGACAUGCCUUCUCCCAAGAUCCAGCAUUAUAGUGCAAAACAAUUGGUAUAACCUGAAGCUAAAACUGCUCCUUGGAGGUCUGCUUCUUUUCUAGGGAAAUAUGGUUUUCAUUAAUACCAAUGUUCAGAUUCAGGAAAAAAAAAUGUGCCUGAGAUAGUGUAUUAUACUCAGAACUUUAAGCUAUUGCUCUUCUUAAUGGUACUAAUCUGUUUUCCUACAGAGAACCAAGUGAAUUUGUUACCUGUCAUUGCAUCCCCAUGUUCAUCUCUUAAUACUUGUGGGUGUGAUACAAACCACCUAAAAGAAAUUCACUGCCUCUUUUACUGCCCAGACAAGGCUGUUUUCUGUGUUCCACCAAUACAAUUUUCCUGUUGCACAUUUUGGUUUGGUUAGUGAGACUUUAAUCAAGAAAAAAAUUCUAAUGAACAGCAAUUUGAAACAGAGCAUUUGGAAAGGUCAAAAUGGUACGCUACAUCCUUAUUAUCCAAAAGAACAGAUGAGUUUAAUAUCCUGGCAGCGUUUUCCUGUGAAGAAGAUAUUAAACAAGAGCUGAAAAUGGCACAAGGUUCCCUCUUCCUUUCUUGUGACAAAGAUUGUAACAAAUGAUGAAACUGUACAGAAUAAAUCUCAUCCUGCUUUAAUGUUCAGACUGGGGAUCCUGCCUAGAUUUCAAAAGCCUAAGCUAACCAAACAGACAACACACAUGGUAUUUGUUUCAGGUGUAUCCACAUGAAGCAGAAGUCUUUUAAAAUACUUUUUCCUACUUACAUGACCUGAUUUCCAUCAAUAUUUUCUAGUCUUAAAAAUGGGAAGAAAUGGUAACAGAAGGUACACAGUGCAGUGAGUUUCAAAAAGCAGUGUUGAACUGCAACAAAUAACGUACUGCAUCAGCCCUGCUUAAAAUGUAGAGUUGUCAUCUUCAGUUUGAAUAGACUGCAGAAUACAAACAAUGUAUUCCAGCACACAAUGCAUUGUAAGUGUUCUGCUUUGGAGAGUCCCUGAAGGUAUGGAAAUGUUUGAAGGCAAAGGAAUUUGCAGUAUAUCCCAUAGGUUGUUAGCAAUUUGAUUAAUACAAGGAGCUGUCACUAUGUGCUUCCUUAAAUCUUUAAAUUGGUCUUCAUGUUAAAUCUUAUUUUUACAACUGAAAAAAUGCUUUGCUUAAAGA